GCCUCAAGACAUCCCUCUGCCUCUGCCUCCGCCUCCUAAAGCGUUGAGAUUACAGAAAUGGGUACGCUAAGAAGUAGCAGAUUAUUUUCACUGGGGGAACUAAGGAUAGCCAUGAGGAAAAAGUAGCACUUCAAUUUAUAAUGAGAACGGAAGAGGAAAAAGGCUGAGGAAAAGGUGACUAUUCUACAGACCAUUUCCAGGUUCUUUCACUUUCUAUUGUUAAAUCUGCCUGUCUUCCAAGCCUCCCCUCACCACUUCCCUCCUUAAGUAUCUUAUUCCAGAAACUCAAUAGAGCUUACAAACACAUCAAGCAGAGUUUUCUUAUGAUGGAAAAAUGAGAAAGUAAUCUUUUUUUUUGCUUGCCAUGAUCAGCACAAACCAAAUUUUUAAAUGGUUUAUUCAUAAACUUGAUGCAAGUUUACAAAAUUUACUGUACAUUGCCAAAUAAAUCUGCAAUUAAAAAUAAAAUCCAUAAAACAAAGCA